AUGAUGAGCUGGGCCCCUGCCCCGGCGCUGCUUCAUCUGAGCGUGAGUCCUGCUUCCCGAAGCGCCGGGAGGACUUGCACCAGGUCAUCCUCAAGGUCAUCAUUACAAGAGGCGAAGACGGUCACACAAUUCAGUAAGAAAUAUCUGACCAAGAUGCAUCAUCUGAUGCUGGGGCUGGAGAUGAGAAAAGAUACAGCACAAAUUUUUACCCUGCAAACUCAUGAGAAAUUAUUCUGGAAAAGUCAAGGCUUCGUGGCAAAAGAUCUCCUUUUUCAACCUGCUUUGUAAAAGACACCUGGAGGAUUUACAACUUGACUUUCUAUGAGGGCAGAAGGCGUAACAUGGUGAGUGACUUCCAGUUAUCAGCUGCCUCAAAUGAACAUCUUUCAUUCCAUCCCUGAUGAU
rnacentral:lncRNA from 1 species